GGCAUUCGCCUCGCUCACAUCGCAUCGCUGUAGCGCAGAUACGCGAGCGACGCGUCCUUAGGCAGCUGUCAACUCCCACAUCGCGGUCAACUUACUGUCGGGAAGGAAUAGAGUUUCGCUCAGCGUCAGGAGACUACCUGGUCGUCACGAAGGACAAGUGCAAUCAGCCGUAUCAUACUUUUUUUGUUCCGCCGCACACUGAAACACUAUGUUGCGUGCCGAGAGCAUUCAUUUCUGAAAGGAGGCAAGGCAAGGACGAGGACGAGGACGAGGACCGGGGACCUUCCAGCCGCAACUCAGCAAAGGAGUUGGAGCUGAGGCUGGCGCUACAGUGUACUCAACAGAUCUCAUUAAGCCUGGUAUGAACAACAUCAUCUGCUACAGUCCCCAGCAGGUAGAGUUGCAUUGUUGUCUCUGAGCUGGGC